UGGUGACAGAGAGGUGGAGAGGUGAGAUUUAUCUCAGAAAUGGGCUGCAGAGCCGCAACGGUGCUCCUCGCGUUCCUUGCACAAGGCAUGAAUGCGUUUAUUUAAAACAGGCCUGACAGAUGUCAUAUGCCUAUAUGUGGCCACGUCUUCACACAUCAUGGAUGGAUGGAACGCUUGAUGUACGGAGCAGCUUUUAUCCUUCUGAAAGUGCAUACAGAGGUCGACUGAUCCAGGGAUAGCAGAAUAAAGGCUUCUUACCAGUCUGUAUCCCACCUCGAAGCGAAUGCAAGGGUUGGGUUUUUGAGAACAUCAUUCUGAUCCCAGCAUGACAUGAGCAGGCCUGCUCUGUGCUAGACCAGCCUCAGAGAUGCAUCUGCCUAAAUUCAUCCAUCCCAGUGCCAGCAGCAAGACAGAGGCGACGCUGAGAGAUUCAGCACCCAAAGCGGCUUUCCCUGAACAUAAUACAAAACAAUGUGGACUCACAGGUGGAUGCGGUUUUCCAGUCCUCAGGAUCCAGGGCGUAAAAGUCUCGUGUUUGUACAACCUGUUGGAUAAAAGGACUACCGUGGUCUGAUCCCAGACUCCAUCGUAGUUUUACUGACGUGUCUCCAAUCUCUUCCACACGGACACCACCUGGAGGACCAGGCAGACCUGAAGCGCAAACAGUCGGCAAUGUCAUGAUGGUUAUAUUUGCGUCAAGUCUAUUUGAUUUAUGCAGUGAAACAAUGGGAAGGGUUAGUUGAUGAAUAAACUACAAACAUCAAUGCAUUGUUUUUAAUACAGCUUUGUACAAGUCUACAUAUCAGAGGCAUUAUUUUAAUAAGCUACUGUAGGACACACAGAGUUCAAAUCACCAACCUUUGACAAAAACAUCAGCUUCUGCGGUGGCAUUGUCCACUAUGGUCUGAGCUGUGCAGGAAUAGUGUCCUGCGUGCCUCACCUGGAUGUUCUUGAUCAGCAGGUCUCCGCUGUUCUCGUCACCCUGCAAAAACACACACACAAACAGUGAAACUGCUUGUCUUCCUGAGAACAGAAUGCCUGAGAUUCCUGUCUCUACUCACCAUGAGCAGCUCGUAGUGUUCAAAGUCUGUGUAGAAGUUGAUGACGUAGGAAUCAACAGUCCAGAUAAAGGUGAUGUCCAGGCUGGGAUCAAAUGAUGCAGAACACUGGAGAAUUGUAGUGUCACCUACAACUGCCUCAGUGUCUGAUGGAGCCUCUGUGAUUUUGGUGGCCUCUGAGAAAAUGAAAGGGACACAAAUGCAUACACCUCAUAUUACCUCAUAUUAACUAUUUAGAAAAAUGAAAAAGACCAGUCACAAAACCUAUGAUAAACACACAUACACACAUAAAUUCAUAUCAAUUUUAACCUUAUUAUGCUGAUUUAAAAAAGUAAAUAAUUAUGAAACUACCCAUAUGCACUAUUUAGUUCAUUAAUAAUUU
ensembl:lncRNA